rnacentral:rRNA from 1 species
GCAUAUCAAUAAGCGGAGGAAAAGAAACCAACAGGGAUUGCCUCAGUAACGGCGAGUGAAGCGGCAAAAGCUCAAAUUUGAAAUCCCCCGGGAAUUGUAAUUUGAAGGUUGGGGAAAAAGUAACGUGUUCUUCUAAGUCUAUUGGAAAAUGGCGCCACAGAGGGUGAUAGCCCCGUCUGAUUCAACACAAUACAUAUCUUCCCCCUCCAAAGAGUCGAGUUGUUUGGGAAUGCAGCUCUAAGUGGGUGGUAAAUUCCAUCUAAAGCUAAAUAUUGGCGAGAGACCGAUAGCGAACAAGUACAGUGAUGGAAAGAUGAAAAGCACUUUGAAAAGAGAGUGAAAAAGUACGUGAAAUUGUUGAAAGGGAAGGGCUUGCAAGCAGACACAACUUUUUGUUGGGCCAGCAUCGGGGGAGUAGGAGGCAAAAAGGAGUAGAAAUGUAGCUUCGGUGUUAUAGUCUGCUCUCAUACCUCCCCACCCUCCCGAGGCCUGCGUAUCUAGGAUGCUGGCGUAAUGGUUGCAAGUCGCCCGUCUUGAAACACGGACC